ensembl:lncRNA
UUUUUAAGAAACAAAAGACUCAAAGCCUUUCUUUUGACCGCCUCCUUAAAUGUUGAAUCGUUUAGAUAAAGGGGCUGGCCCAGGAAGACAGCUACUAUGAGAGAUACUGAGAAAAAAUGUGUGCCAGGUGUGGUCAGGGGAACUGCAAAUAUUUACAGAGAGUUCCAAACACUUGCUUUUCCAUCUCCAUGUGAAUCACCUUCUUCCACAUUCUAGUCCCAAACCACUACCCACAGCAUCCUCCUCUGUCUCUAGCUGAAGAUGGCAUUUAAGGUGAGGGUUUCAACCAUUCUGGGCAUCUGAACAUGUUCGUUACAGCUCUCUGCUCUAUCAUGGGAGGCAGUCUGAAACAGAAGGCUGGAGCAGUUAACCCCACAAGGACAGCAAUGAUGUUCUGUAGGGGAAGCCUGAGAGGCUAUGGUGUGGAGGCCGACCAAGCGUGGGAAUCUAAAAUCGGCAGGAAAGGGUGGGGGUCUCUCUGCAGGGCCCACCACUUACCAGUCGGCCUUCCAAGCAGUCGACGGCGGCCCCCCGGGCCAGCAGGUACCGCACGCAGUCCGGGUGUCCCAUGGAGGCAGCCUCGUGCAGAGAGAGCCCGCUUGUAGUCCUGGUGGACGGCUUCGAUGUCCAGGUCCCAGAUAGGCCAAGAUGUCCCAGCGGCUGUGGCGCGUAAAGUGUGCAGGAGGGUAUCUCCGGCAGACCCCGCGCAGCCCGCGCGCCCAGCCGCGUGCAGCUCCUCUCAUCCAGCACCAACCAGCACAGCCGCCGCGGAACCCGGAGCGCGGUCAUGGCCACGGGCUCGAGUCCUGCGGGAACGCUUGGCGACCCUCCCCCGGACCCGCCCCGCGAUCCUCC